GAGGCGGCUUUAGCGGCAGCAAAACGGCUCGACUUUCUGUGAUAGCCAGCAGAGGGAAGCGGGGUUUUCCUUACAGCAGGGGCUGGAGCGCGCCUGGUUCUUUGGGUAGGAAAUACUGCAGGCUUCUGGACUGCGUCUGCUUCUCGAGGGAGAGGCUGGCUGUUGUAGUUCCACCCACCGGCUGGAAGGAGGGGGUUUGAAUAAAAGAGAAGAAAAGCCCCAAUACCUUGGGUCCCUCCGUGAGGGCGACCGCAGCAACUAGGUUGGGGCGAGCGAGGACGCGUUCCUUCCGUCAUUCCUCCUUUUCUUUUUUUCUUUUUCUUUUUUUUUUUGAGCUCUUCCUUCCCACCUCCUCCUUUUCUCUUUUUAGUAAGGGGGUGGAGGGAUCGUGAGAAACCGCGAGGAAGCCGAUCCGAAGAGAUCCGGACUUCCCUCGUCUUGCUGUUUUCUCCGAAAGGACUGCUAGUCCCCCCUCCCGGUUCACACCCCCUCUCCAGACCUUGGCAAUUGACAUUAUUUAAGACCAGGAGGAGGAGGGGGGUCCCGCUCUAACGGGGAGAGGGCGGAAAAAAGCAAAGCAAAGCAAAGCAAGACCUGUCGACCCCCUUUUCGAUGUUUUGAUUUUUUAACAAAAAAAUUUCCUAUUUUUAAUUUUUGCGGCGGUUGACGCGGCUGGAGCUAGUGAGCGUUUAGAAGGCAAAGAAGUCCGAGAGAGGAAAAAAGAAAGAAGCCACCUUGAUUAGGACUGUCAGGAAUAGUGGCUUUAACCGAAGAAAGGCCUGGGGCACGACUCCCUGUCAACGGGUUCCCUGCAUCCGAGAUAAAGAUUCUAGCUACAUGGGCAAACGCUUGGAACAGCAGCCAAUGUUCCCUCAGUACACAUACUACUAUCCCCAUUACCUCCAAACUAAGCAUUCCUAUGCACCAGCUCCCCAUUCCAUGGCUCCUCCCAGCCCCAGCACUAACAGUAGCAACAACAAUAGCAACAUCAGCAGUGGUGAACAGUUGAGUAAAACCAACCUGUACAUCCGAGGCCUUCCUCCCAGCACCACUGACCAGGACCUGAUCAAACUGUGCCAGCCGUAUGGAAAAAUUGUAUCUACAAAAGCAAUCCUAGACAAAAACACGAAUCAGUGCAAAGGUUACGGUUUUGUAGAUUUUGAUAGUCCAGCAGCUGCACAGAAAGCCGUAGCAUCACUUAAAGCAAAUGGUGUGCAAGCCCAGAUGGCUAAGCAACAAGAACAAGACCCCACAAAUCUUUACAUCUCAAACUUGCCCAUUUCCAUGGAUGAGCAAGAGUUGGAGAAUAUGCUUAAACCUUUUGGACAUGUCAUUUCCACCAGAAUAUUAAGAGAUGCAAAUGGCAUCAGCAGAGGAGUAGGAUUUGCCAGAAUGGAAUCCACUGAAAAAUGUGAAGUUGUAAUUCAACAUUUUAAUGGAAAAUACCUGAAAACACCACCAGGUGUGCCAGCCCCAACAGAACCUUUGCUGUGCAAAUUUGCUGAUGGAGGACAAAAGAAACGACAGAAUCAAAGCAAAUAUACCCAGAAUGGGAGACCCUGGCCAAGGGAAGGAGAGGCUGGCAUGGCCUUGACUUAUGACCCUGCAGCUACUAUACAGAAUGGAUUUUAUUCCUCACCGUACAGUAUUGCUACAAACCGCAUGAUUCCACAGACAUCAAUCACGCCAUUCAUUGCUGCUUCCCCUGUCUCCACUUAUCAGGUUCAGAGUACUUCAUGGAUGCCCCAUCCGUCAUAUGUUAUGCAACCAACAGGUGCUGUGUUAACACCAGCAAUGGAUCAUACAAUGUCCAUGCAGCCAGCAAGUAUGAUGGGCCCCUUGACACAACAGAUGAGUCAUCUUUCCUUGGGCACAACAGGAACAUAUAUGACGGCUGCGGCACCUAUGCAAGGGACCUAUAUUCCCCAGUACACUCCUGUGCCUCCAACAGCUGUCCCUCUUGAAGGUAUAGUUGCUGAUACCUCUCCACAGACAGUAGCACCUUCAUCACAGGAAUCUAGUGGUCAGCAGCAACAGAUGGCAGUGGAAACAUCCAGUGAACAUGCAUCUGCAUAUUCAUACCAACAGUCAAAAAACCAGCUUCCAAAGUAUCCACCUCUUUAUAUCUAUGUGAACCACUGAUCUAAGAAUGGUCUGUCCUUGGAAAAAUAUAAAACCAAAACAGUCCUCAUGCAAAAACAGGAAGUUUCCUUGGAGGAAGGGAUGUCUGUUACCUCACUGAUAUGAAUAAGACAAUGAACAGAGCUGAAAAAUGUCGGUCAGCAAAGUUUGCCUUGAAUGAAAAAACUUCAUUGAACAAGAAGUUGGCUUCCUGUUUGCACAGGCAUCAAAGUUUUUUGUUUCAUUUUCUACUUUACCCAGCAAGAGUGUUUCUGUGUGCUGUGCAAAUUGUUUGGUCAUAUAGUCUCAUAGUUUUAUUUUUGCUAUUUUUUUUAAUUAAAGGGGAAAACAUGACAAAAUACUGGGUUAAUAUUUUAUCUGACUGAACAUUAGAAAUUCAGAAUUUACUUGGAACUGUACAUUUAUACUUUUUGUUUGUUUUGAUUUGUUUUGAUUUGGUUUCUCAAAAACCAAGAAUGAUAAUAACAAGAGGAAGAAAGCUGAGAUGAAAACCAGUGGUCUUCCUCAAGAAUCCAACUAAUCUUUCCCCCUUGUUGAAAUCAGCUGUGUCUUUCUUUUUGAGUUUGUAUGCAUAUGUUUUUUUAAAGAAAUGUUUAGGUAAGAUUUAUAUUGAAUCUUAAUUGCCUUAAUUUUAAGGAUGACGAAGGCUCUCAAGGCAAGCUGUCAACAUUUUGGUAGAAGAAAAGCAAAUAUAUUCUAGUGGAUGUGUACACCUGGAUCAACUGGUGCUGAAGUUCAACAGACUGAAUUUUUAGGAUUAACAAACAAACAACAAUAACAAUAAAAACUGUAUAGCUUAACAGAAAAUAUUUGAAAAACUGUUGAUAAAGGAACUGUGACAACUUCAAAAAUUGGAAAAAAAAUUGCGAAGACUUUUAUGAACUUUCUUAGUGUUGACAGAGAAGAUUCUAGAAGGCUAAAGUGUUUUACAAUAAAAUUAUUGAAGGGGGGAGGUCAACUUGCAUUUUAAGGAAUUGGUGGGAAGGGUUCUUGCAGAAUUUUUAAUUUACAAAAUGUGAUUGUUGGCUAGAGCAUUAGUGCUUUUUAUCUGCAGUCUUUUUUAUGAGCUUUAAAGAGUUUUUAGUCUGCUUUGCUUGUCACAUUCAAACACCUAGCUUAAAAGGCAUUAGGGGGAAAAUCUUAGUUAAGAACUUAUAGUCAAAAAAGUGCAAAAAGCAAUAGCUAGAAGAAAUUGUUGACAAUUUCUGUAGUCUUUCCUAGUUGUGAUCAAACGCAGCCUAUGGAUGGCCUGUUUUAUACCAAAGAUGAAAUGACAUCCUACCACAGAUCAGAAGAUAGAAAGGUUUUCUUUUCUUUUCUUUUUCUUAUUUCUUUUUAAACAAAAUCUUUGUUUGAUUAAUAUGGCCGGUCCAGUUGUUAUCUUUAUGUAUUGCUUAAACUUUCUUCCACUGGUAUUUUACAUUCUGUGAAUUUGGGAUUCUAAUCAAAAUCUUGAUUAGUUGGUACUUAACAGCACUUAGCAGAAUUUCACAAUAUGAGGAAGAUUUAACCUUAAGUUAUUCAAGGUGUCUUUUAACUUUUCGGUGCUUUUCUGUGUUUUUUUCUUUUUUACUGAAACAGGAGUCUUCCUUUCUUAUACCAUCCAAUGAGCUCGUUCUUUCUUUCUUUCUUUCUUUCUUUCUUUCUUUCUUUCUUUCUUUCUUUCUUUCUUUCUUUUUCCUCCUCUCUCCCUGUAUUAGUUUCAGUGCUGAGGACUAUCCAUCAUCAUCAUCUGGAUGGUAUUUGAGUCACUUAGAGGCCAAUGAAAAUGGUUAAUAUUUUUUUAAUUAUCCCAUUCAAGAUAAAAGUUUAAAACAGCUUGUGUUAAUUUUCAUGCAAGCAUGAAAUUAACAAUCACUAAAUGGAUUUCUGUUGUCAUGAUAUGUUUAUUGACAAUCAGUGAUUAGUUAAUUAGGUAAAAGACAAGAGUGACUAUAUUGAACCAUUGCGAACUUAUUUUUAAAAGAUAAAAGAAUAUAUGGAAUCUAUAUAUCGAGGAUCCAGGAAAAUACCAUCUCCCAUUUAAAGAGUGUUCGUUUCCAUAAGUCUGUGGAGAAAACAUUUUAAAAUGAACUUUCCAACCAUUUCCAAUUUACUUAUUCUUUGCUAGACAUAUAUAUAUAUGUAUAUAUGUAUGUAUGUAUGUGUAUAUAUAUAUAUAUAUAUAUAUAUAUAUAUAUAUAUAUAUAUAUACACACACACACACACAUACACACACACACACACAUAUGCCCAUGGAACCUGCACUGGCUCCUAAAGGUUUCUGUCCUCAAAUUAGAACUGGUAUUUAUGAAUGAGGUAAAGAAGUAAAAUGUAUCUAUAUGAGCAGAUGAAGCAUUUAAAAUGGUCCUUCUUAAAGAAAAAAAUAGUGUUCAGUGCAAUGACUGUGAUGUAUUAAAAACAGGGUAACCAUAUUGAAAAAUUAUUUAAAAAUAAUAAAACAGAUUUUUGGGGGAGAGAAGGGGAAUCAAAGAGAUUCAACUUGCCCAGUUUUAAUAUGAAGGAUAUAUACAAUUAAACUUGACUUCUACAUGAACCCUAGUGAAAUAACACAAGGUUUUGGCAGGAGCAUUAUUGUGCACAGAAUCCAUGGUUACGUUUAAAUGAUGUUUUUUAAAAAAUUGAGUAUUUUUUUAAGAAUACUAAAAACAGUUCCUUAUUUUUAAUGUAGUAUUUCAUGUUUGGUGGGGUUGGGGGUUGGGUAAACCCCCCAAAAUGGCUGCUAAAUGCAAACAUUAAAAAGCAAAAAAAGAAGAAAAAAAGAAAAACAGAUUGUCACCUGGCUGGCAUAAUGAAAAGGACCUGGUUAUUUGAAAUUCGUGUAGUUUUCCGUAACUACAUUGAUAAUUAAAAGAACCACAGAGACAGAAAAAAGUUUAAUAUAUCACUAAGGACCUCUAGCUUCUUCCUUUUUUUCACGUGCUUUAUCAAUGCUUUUUACUUUCUAUGAACAUCCCUUGAUUUCCCCCCUUGUUUUCAUUCGGGAUAGAUGUGCCUAUUGAAAGGGGCAUGAGAAAAAUGAUCAAGCCAGCCUGAUUUUCUUCCUUUUUAUGCUUUCUUUGUGUGUGUGUGUGUGUGUGUGUGUGUGUGUGUGUGUGUGUGUGUAAAUAUAGAAGUUAUUCUCCUGUGGCACAAUUCUGUUUUAAUACAAAAGAAGCAUGUGUUGUGGGUUUGCUUGUUUGUUUUUAAAUUGUCUCUAUAAAUUCUAGUUUGGUGCAAAGAAUAGUCUCAUUGCUGUUGACAAUGAGGCUGUAAGGUAGCUACCGUGUGGCAGAUGGAUAUGGCUGAGAUACUUUCUUGUUUUGGAUCAGCCCUCUGCUGUUUUCUUUAUACUUUGGGUCAUUUUGCUUGAGUUUGUUUCCCAAAUCAGGUUCAAAACUCAGUAUAGGAUUUUUCAUUAAGUCAGGCAUCUUUCUCUUCCUCCUUACUGGUAACCAUUAGUUCAUCAUCAUCAUUUGAAGUGUUUGAGAACUUUAUAUGUUUUAAUGCUUUGACAUCCAACAAUUCUAUCAUUUUGCAAAUAAAUGAAAAGGGUAAAGACUCUUUUGAGUCAAAUGUGACUCUUAGUGACACAUAUUUAUGUUUUCUUUAAUGAGGGACAUAGUAUGCCUUCUUCUGAAUUAUUGCUACUUUUGUUUUACUUCCCAGUCUUGUCUAUGUCAUUGAAUUUCCUCGUGGAUCCUAUCCAAGUACUAAUCAGGACUGUUCCUCCUUAUUUUUCUAAAAUCAGCCAAAGUUAGCUAAGUGCUUUAUCCACCUGACCAUUACAAAUGGAGGAGGAACAGUGAUCUAUUCUUCCAAUAAAUUGCUCAGUUUAAUAGAUUACCCCUUUUGAUGCAUCACCGUGUUAAUGAUAGUCUAGGAACUAUGUUUGAGCCAAACUACUAUAAUCUAAAUUUGAAUAUGCUCCAAGAAAACCAAAGGAUAAUGCUUGAUUUCAAAUUUAAUUUUAUUAAUCCUUCUGAUCAUUUAUACCCACAGACUUUAUAACAGCAUUAAAGAAGCUGUAUAAUUUGGAUUCAGUAUUUAAAGAUGUAUGACACUGUUGUAUCAAUCUGAUUAUAUUAACUAUAAGAUGUCAGUGACAUAGAGAAAUUAUUUUUCAUCUCCUGGGAAAAGUUUGCAUAUACUGUACAUCUGACCCCAACCUGGAAUAAAAUAUAAGGAGAGAUUCCUUUGAUAGCAGUAUGGUUAUAACUCAUUGUAACUUUAGAUUGACAGAUCUAACUUUUUAAAAAAUCAAAAGACAUUUGAUUCAUUUAGUAAGACCUUGGAAUUUUCCCUUCUGUCUCAGUUAUACAUCUCUUUAUGUGAUGCCACAAUCUAGAAAAUAUUGGAAUGUUCCAGAAUUCAAAAGUAAUUUGCAGUUAGAGAAGAAAAGAUGAGAAGUCUACUGGAUCAAAAGCUCAUGGAGAUUGCAGGCUUUGCAGCAAAAAUAUAUCUAUCUAAGGUCUAUUUCACAAUGUCAUUUGGAAACUCUGCACAAUGAAUGUAUUUUAUAUGUUUAACCCAUAUCACCUUAACAUUGAAAAGGACAACUUCCUUUAAUGCUACCUAAAGUAUUUCAUUAUUUCUCACAGUACUAAAAACCACUAAAAAUUAUACUGGCCAUCUAAAUGGCCUUGUUCUAUUUGAUGAAUAUAAUUUCUGGAAUCAGGGGUUAAUUGUUUGAGCUCCAUACUUCUCUGCCAGAUGAUCAUUUUUCCUUGUCUGAUAUCAUAUAGAAAGAUGCUUUGGGUUAUACACCUCUGCUCUUUGAAAGUUUUAAUAUUCCAAUUUUUGUGUGAGUCAUGACACUGAACAAGACUUUUACUUGUGCAGUAGAAUUUAGCAAGCUUUCUGGAUAACCAUUGUUUCCCCUCCUUUGCUAACCCCCUCCUCAACUUCAUCAACUUCUGAGAUGGGAUUGCUGGUUUUAAGUAAUAUGAUGGUGGUUACCUAGUUGUGAGUUGUCACUUAUAAAACAACCCAGGGCUGGACUGCUGAAAUAUGGGAUUUGGAAAACUAAUAUACCAUUGCAAUAAUGUCAGAAUAAAACCUAGGCUAGACUUCAAUAUCAUCAGGAUUCUGAAAAUUUUUCCUGAAAUCUUUUUAAUUAAUGUGCAUUUAAUUCAAGUAUUUGAGCAAGGAAGCAUAUAUAUGUGUCUACGUAUAUGUAUAUGCAUAUGCAUAUGUAUAUAGAUAUGAAUAUGUAUAUGAUGCGCGCGUACACACACACAUACACACACACACACACUAUAUGUAAAGACAAACAUUUUUGGCUGUCUUCAACAAUAUUGAGGGAUAUUUAAAUUGUUUCUGAAUGUGCUCUCCUUAAUAUAUUCCUGUUUCCAUGGUUCUACUUUUCCCAAGAGGCAUAGAGAGAAAUGACCAAGUAUACUGGCACACAAUCCACCACAUAUAAAGCCUUGCCAGCAUGUGCCAUACAUGUAAGAGUUGAAAGUUUAUUUCAUGUGAUUUCACUUUCAUAUGAUUUUUUUCCCAAGGAUUUCAUUAAUUCCCAACUCACAUAGCUGAAUAAUCAACAGAGGGUAUUCCUGCUGGAAAACAGAGUCUUUUGAAUUUACAGUUUGAAUUUCACGUUAUCCAGGAAUGUCCUAUUUGGAACCAACCAUUCACAGACUUUUCAAAAAAAUGCUUUCCCCUCCAGCUGGCCAACAUUUUCUCUUUUACUAGAGAAACAUUCUUGUCCUGUCAAAAAGUUGUUCAAAUCUACAAACCUUGUAGAUUUGCAACAUUAAACUGCUCUAUACAGUAGUGUAAUUGCAAUUGUUUGUUCUGAAGUAUGUAUGUGGGUACUUUGAAAUUAAUCCACCAUGUUGUAGUAUUUUCUACUACAAUCGCUUUCAUAAAACUGUUGAUUAAGCAAAUAAGUGAUUCCUACAGCAAGGUUAAAUAUUUAAAUUAAUUUGACAUUAUUCAGAAUAAUGAAGGAUGUGUCUUUGUAAGUUUGUCUAUUGAACCAGCAGACUUAAGAAUGCCUGCAAUGUAGUAAUAAAAUUUAUUUUUAAUAUGUCACAGUAUUUUGAUCUAAAUUAUCUUGAAGAAAUGAUAUGAAGUACAUAGAAAGUUGUCUUGAUUUGUAACGAAGCCUGAAGAUGGCAUUAUCAGCCUUGUUCUCUUCAUUAGCUGAGACUAAUGUGAGUGAAACAGGUUUAAAUAACAUCACUUGAAAUAUUAUCUAUCUAAUAAAAGUCUUCUGCAAGGUAGGCUAACGAGCUUCACACAAUUAACAUCAAAUGUUAACCAUUGCAAAACCAAAUGUGUUGAGUCAUACAUAGUCAACUUUUUAUUUCAGUGCUUUAUUUAAUAUGAAAUUGCUUUUGAUGUACAAAGGGACAAGGGAUCUUUGUUUCUUUUGAAUAGGCUAAGGAUGUUCAAGCAGUAUUUUGGAACUGUAAAGGAAAGCCCAGCACAUAUUUCUGAAAACCUCUUUUUAUGUUAUCAAACUUUUCUAUAGAAUUAUAUGAUUUCAUUUUAAAUAAAGCAUAACAUCAUCAUGCAUGUAACCAAUGGUGUGUUGUAGUUGGCUUUCACUACUCCUGAAAGCCAAUUGUUAAACUAUCAAGAAUUUUGUGCCUGGUUGGCAACAGAACUGAGCCACCACUUUGUCAGCUUUUUGGCAGCCAAUUGGAGAAAAUGGCAAGAAGGUGACAAUCAGUAGAGAGGAGGCAGAAAUGCUUUCUGAAAGUAACUGCUUAUUCUGAAAAAAUAUAAGGAAUGAAUCUGCAAACACUAGAGACAAAUAAAAUCAUAACCAGAAAUUAAGAUGAGUUUGUUAAAAACAGAUCAUGCUAGAUAAAUCUUAUUGUAUUCUUUGCCAAUGUGACAAAAUUAAUGGACUUCAGUAAGGCAUUUGAUAAAAUAAACCACAACCUAUUACUUGAUAAGAGAGAAAAUGUAAGUUAGAGAGCAGCAGCAUCAGACGGAUUCAUAACUUAAUGGAACUGCAUCUGCAUGGAAGGAAGUAUGCAACAGGGUCCGGUUCGGUCCAUGGCUAGUACUCUUCAAUAUCUUCACCAGUGAUUUAGACAAGGAGAACUCAUCAUAUUUGCAGAUGACACCAAGCUGGCAGGAAUAGCCAACACUCCAGAGGACAGACUCAAGAUACAGAAGAAUCUCGAAACACUGGAACAUCAAGCCCUAUCUAACAAAAUGAA